CGUGGGUGGGAGUGAGUGGCGAACGGGUGAGUAACACGUGAGUAACCUGCCCCCUUCUUUGGGAUAACGCCCGGAAACGGGUGCUAAUACUGGAUAUUCACUUGCCUUCGCAUGGGGGUUGGUGGAAAGGGUUUUUUCUGGUGGGGGAUGGGCUCGCGGCCUAUCAGCUUGUUGGUGGGGUGAUGGCCUACCAAGGCUUUGACGGGUAGCCGGCCUGAGAGGGUGACCGGUCACAUUGGGACUGAGAUACGGCCCAG
rnacentral:rRNA from 1 species